CUCGCGGCCUAUCAGCUUGUUGGUGAGGUAAUGGCUCACCAAGGCGUCGACGGGUAGCCGGCCUGAGAGGGUGACCGGCCACACUGGGACUGAGACACGGCCCAGACUCCUACGGGAGGCAGCAGUGGGGAAUAUUGCACAAUGGGCGCAAGCCUGAUGCAGCAACGCCGCGUGAGGGAUGACGGCCUUCGGGUUGUAAACCUCUUUUAGCAGGGAAGAAGCGAAAGUGACGGUACCUGCAGAAAAAGCGCCGGCUAACUACGUGCCAGCAGCCGCGGUAAUACGUAGGGCGCAAGCGUUAUCCGGAAUUAUUGGGCGUAAAGAGCUCGUAGGCGGUUUGUCGCGUCUGCUGUGAAAUCCGGAGGCUCAACCUCCGGCCUGCAGUGGGUACGGGCAGACUAGAGUGCGGUAGGGGAGAUUGGAAUUCCUGGUGUAGCGGUGGAAUGCGCAGAUAUCAGGAGGAACACCGAUGGCGAAGGCAGAUCUCUGGGCCGUAACUGACGCUGAGGAGCGAAAGGGUGGGGAGCAAACAGGCUUAGAUACCCUGGUAGUCCACCCCGUAAACGUUGGGAACUAGUUGUGGGGUCCAUUCCACGGAUUCCGUGACGCAGCUAACGCA
rnacentral:rRNA from 1 species